UACGUAGGGUGCGAGCGUUGUCCGGAAUUAUUGGGCGUAAAGGGCUCGUAGGCGGUUUGUCGCGUCGGGAGUGAAAACCUUGGGCUUAACCCAGGGCUUGCUUUCGAUACGGGCAGACUAGAGGUAUGCAGGGGAGAACGGAAUUCCUGGUGUAGCGGUGAAAUGCGCAGAUAUCAGGAGGAACACCGGUGGCGAAGGCGGUUCUCUGGGCAUGAUCUGACGCUGAGGAGCGAAAGCGUGGGGAGCGAACAGG
rnacentral:rRNA from 1 species